UUGAAAGCCUGGGUUCCGGAGAAGAGAGGGACCUGGUGCCUGGACUUUGAGGGUGAAUAGGAAGAUUCUGAGGUGCCCUGUGCCACAGAUGUCCAACCACACAGUCUCACUGAGCUGGUGUUCCUGGUGUGGAGUGGGUACUGUGUCAGUUCCAGAUACCACAGGAGGGUUUGUUACAGCACUGACAGCAGAAUCUGCAGAUGGGGAAGUUGAUGUCUCUCUUCCUUCUCUUCUGCAUUGGGAUCUGUGUAAAGAAAGAGAGGCACCAUGGGGGACACGGGAGCCAGGGUUAGGCCUUGGCACACUGGGCCCCCGUGGAUUCCAGGCCUGUACCCACCUGCUGCCUGAGGAGCUCAUUGUCCAUCUGCAGCCGCUCUGCCUCCUUGAAGGUCUCCUGCAUGCGCUGGUUGG
ensembl:lincRNA Gm44662 predicted gene 44662